rnacentral:rRNA from 1 species
AUUGAACGCUGGCGGCAUGCUUUACACAUGCAAGUCGAACGGCAGCGGGGGCUUCGGCCUGCCGGCGAGUGGCGAACGGGUGAGUAAUGCAUCGGAACGUGCCCAAGUCGUGGGGGAUAACGUAUCGAAAGGUACGCUAAUACCGCAUACGUCCUGAGGGAGAAAGCGGGGGACUCGCAAGAGCCUCGCGCGAUUGGAGCGGCCGAUGUCGGAUUAGCUAGUUGGUGAGGUAAAGGCUCACCAAGGCGACGAUCCGUAGCGGGUCUGAGAGGAUGAUCCGCCACACUGGGACUGAGACACGGCCCAGACUCCUACGGGAGGCAGCAGUGGGGAAUUUUGGACAAUGGGCGCAAGCCUGAUCCAGCCAUGCCGCGUGAGUGAAGAAGGCCUUCGGGUUGUAAAGCUCUUUCGGCCGGGAAGAAAUCGUGUUCUCUAACAUAGGGCAUGGAUGACGGUACCGGACUAAGAAGCACCGGCUAACUACGUGCCAGCAGCCGCGGUAAUACGUAGGGUGCGAGCGUUAAUCGGAAUUACUGGGCGUAAAGCGUGCGCAGGCGGUUUUGUAAGACAGAUGUGAAAUCCCCGGGCUUAACCUGGGAACUGCAUUUGUGACUGCAUA